GAAGUUAAUUUUUUACAUGUAUGUGAUGGAUGCCUAGGCAAUUAUAAUGAAGAAGGACGUUUGCUUUGCGAUAAUCCUCGGGGAGUUAAGCUUUAAAUAAUAUUGAUCCGAGGGACUCCGAAUUGGGUAACCUAACUUAUUUAGUUAUUUAUAAAUUAAAUAAAAUAGAUUAUAAAAAAAUACGUAGUGAACUGAAACAUCUUAUUAGCUACAGGAGUAUAAAUCAAAAGAGAUUUCCUUAUUAGUGGCGAGCGAAACGGAAAUAGUUUUUUAUAAAAUUUAUUUUUAUUAUUUGAAUAUUUUUGAAUAAAUAACUUUAAAAAGUAAUAGUCUUGUAAAUUAAAAUAUUUUUAAAUUUUAUAAAAUAUAUAGUAAAACGAGACAUGUGAAAUCUUGUUUGAAUAAUUUAAGUAUUAAGGGGAACCAUCCUCUAUAACUAAAUAUUUAUAAUUGACCGAUAGUGAAUAUAGUACUGUGAAGGAAAGGUGAAAAGAACCCUUAUUAGGGAGUGAAAUAGAUCCUGAAAUCACAUACAUACAAACAGUCGAUGCUUAAUAAAAAGUUACGGCGUACCUUUUGUAUAAUGGGUCAGCGAGUUAUAUUUAAUAGCAAGCUUAACUUUUUUUAGGUAGGCAUAGCGAAAGCAAGUUUUAAUAGAGCGUUUAGUUAUUAGGUAUAGACCCGAAACCAAGUGAUCUAUUUAUGACCAGGAUGAAGAUUUUUUAAAAGAAAUUGAAGGUCCGAACUCACUAACGUUGAAAAGUUAGGAGAUGAGUUGUGAAUAGGGGUGAAAGGCUAAUCAAACUUGGAGAUAGCUGGUUCUCUUCGAAAACUAUUUAGGUAGUGCCUUGUGUUUUAUUUUUGGGGGUAGAGCACUGUAUUAUUUGAAGGGUUUUUAACGAAAUUACUUCAAUAUAGCAAACUCCGAAUACCAGAAAAUUUAAUCACAGGAGACAGACUACGAGUGCUAACAUUCGUGGUCGAGAGGGAAACAACCCAGAUUAUUAGUUAAGGUCCCUAAAUAUAACUAAGUGUUAAACGAGGUUUAAAGACUUAUACAAUCAGGAGGUUAGCUUAGAAGCAGCUAUCCUUUAAAGAAAGCGUAACAGCUCACUGAUUUAGUUUUUUUGCGCGUAAGAUGUAGGGGGCUAAGUUAUAUACCGAAACUAUAAAUAUAAUAUAUAUUAUAUGGUAGGAGAGCGUUCCGUAAGUCUGUGAAGAAUUAUUUAAGAUAUUUUGGAGAUAUCGGAAGUGCGAAUGCUGACAUAAGUAACGAUAAAAAAAGUGAAAAACUUUUUCGCCGUAAACCUAAGGUUUCCUACGCAAUGUUAAUCAUCGUGGGGUUAGUCGGUCUCUAAAAUGAGGGUAAAAUACGUAGUUGAUGAGUUAUAGGUUAAUAUUCCUGUACUAUUAAUAAAUGUGAUUGAAAUACUAAUUAAUAAUAGCUAUCCAGGUGUAUGGAAUACUUGGUUAUUAUUUUAAAAUUUAAUUAGGAAAAUCCUUUUUUUUAUAUUUUAUAUUUGAUACGAGAUUUAUUAAAAUCAAGUAGUUUUAUUUAGUUACUAGAAAAAUUUCUAAGCGUUAAAUUUAUUAAUAACCGUACCGUAAACCGACACAGGUGGGUGAGAUGAAUAUUCUAAGGCGCUUGAGAUAACUCGGGAGAAGGAACUCGGCAAAUUAAUACUGUAACUUCGGGAUAAAGUAUGCCUCAUUAGUUUAUAAAUAUUUUUUAUUUAAAGGAUGAAGGGGUCUAAGUUAAAAGGUAGCUGCGACUGUUUAAUAAAAACAUAGCACUCUGCUAAUAUUUAUUUAGAUGUAUAGGGUGUGACGCCUGCCCGGUGCCGGAAGAUUAAGGUUUGGGGUAUUGAGCUUUGAAUUUAAGUCCCGGUAAACGGCGGCCGUAACUAUAACGGUCCUAAGGUAGCGAAAUUCCUUGUCGGGUAAGUUCCGACCUGCACGAAUGGCGUAACGAUGGCUACACUGUCUCCUCCUGAGACUCAGUGAAAUUGAAAUGUUUGUGAAGAUGCAAACUACUUGCGGCUAGACGGAAAGACCCCAUGAACCUUUACUGUAACUUUGUAUUGAUUUUAAAAAUAAUAUGUGUAGGAUAGGUGGGAGAUGAUGAUAAUAAAACGUUAGUUUUAUAGUAAUCGACCUUGAAAUACCACCCUUAUUAUUUUUAUUAUCUAAUUUUACCCGUUAUCCGGGUUAAAGACAUUGCAUGGUGGACAGUUUGACUGGGGCGGUCUCCUCCUAAAGAGUAACGGAGGAGCACAAAGGUAUGCUAAUUACGAUUGGAAAUCGUAAGUAUAGUGUAAUGGCGUAAGCAUGCUUAACUGCGAGACUUACAAGUCAAGCAGGUGCGAAAGCAGGUCAUAGUGAUCCGGUAGUUCUGAAUGGAAGGGCUAUCGCUCAACGGAUAAAAGGUACUCUGGGGAUAACAGGCUAAUACCGCCCGAGAGUUCAUAUCGACGGCGGUGUUUGGCACCUCGAUGUCGGCUCAUCUCAUCCUGGGGCUGAAGAAGGUCCCAAGGGUAUGGCUGUUCGCCAUUUAAAGAGGUACGUGAGCUGGGUUUAAAACGUCGUGAGACAGUUUGGUCCCUAUCUGCCGUAAGCGUAGGAUAUUUGAAAGAAUCUGUUUUUAGUACGAGAGGACCGAAAUGGACGAACCUCUGGUGUUCCGGUUGUUACACCAGUAGCAUUGCCGGGUAGCUAAGUUCGGUUAAGAUAACUACUGAAAGCAUAUAAGUAGGAAACUUUUCUUAAGAUUAUAUAUCCCAGAAUUUAUUUCUUUAAGGGCUGUUUUAGACUAAGACUUUGAUAGGUUAAAUGUGUAAUCAUAGUAAUAUGUUUAGCUAAUUAAUACUAAUUGCCCGUAUGUUUUAACUUU
rnacentral:rRNA from 1 species